UAAGACGAAGGUGGCAAGCGUUAUUCGGAUUUACUGGGCAUAAAGCGCGCGUAGGCGGCUUGGCAAGUCGGGGGUGAAAGCCCGCAGCUCAACUGCGGAACUGCCUUCGAUACUGCCGGGCUUGAGGGCGGGAGGGGUGAUUGGAACUCCAGGUGUAGCGGUGAAAUGCGUAGAUAUCUGGAGGAACACCGGAGGCGAAGGCGAAUCACUGGACCGCAUCUGACGCUGAGGCGCGAAAGCUAGGGGAGCAAACAGGAUUAGAUACCCUGGUAGUCCUAGCUGUAAACGAUGGGCACUAGGCAGUGGAGGUCCGAUGCCGUCACUGUCGGAGUUAAUAUGUUAAGUGCCCCGCCUGGGGAGUACGGCCGCAAGGCUG
rnacentral:rRNA from 1 species